GAUGAAGAACGUAGUGAAAUGCGAUAAGUAGUGUGAAUUGCAGAAUUCAGUGAAUCAUCGAAUCUUUGAACGCACAUUGCGCCCCUUGGUAUCCCGAGGGGCAUGCCUGUUCGAGCGACAUUUCACCACUCAAGCCUGGCUUGGUGUUGGGCGACGUCCUCUUUGGGGACGCGCCUCGAAACGCUCGGCGGCGUGGCACCGGCUUUAAGCGUAGCAGAAUCUUUCGCUUUGGAAGUCGGGGCCCCGUCUGCCGGAAGACCUGCUCGCAAGGUUGACCUCGGAUCAGGCAGGGAUACCCGCUGAACUUAAGCAUAUCAAUAAGCGGAGGA
rnacentral:misc_RNA from 1 species